UCAGAUUACAUAAAAAGCCUAAAAAUAACGCCUCUUUUCUCAUUCACAAUCAAAAACACCGAUGUUAUAUCCAUCGGUGUCGAGACCGACGAAGUUGUCAAAAAGGAGGAAGAUUGGGAGGUCCAAAUCGACCACAAAGUGAAAACAGAAUCUAGAGAAUCAUCCAUAGACUCGGAUCGAGAUGAACCAAUAAGCGAACUGUUUAAACGUACAAGAAUACUAGUCGAAAGUCUCCCACGAAAAGUAACCAGAAGUAAAACAGCAGCGAAAACUCAGCGUGCCAAAAAAACUGUUUUAGAAAAGACGAAGAAAGUUAUAAAAGAAAAACCGCCGAAGAAAGGUGUGAAAGAGAAAAAAGAGAGCAAAGUCAAGACGGAAAAGGUGAAAAAGCAAAAAGAGAAAGAGACAGGCUAUGAGUUCCCGGAUGGUGAAGUGGAGGUAUUGAUGUUAAGUAAAGAAGAACAGUUAGAAGAGAUACACGCAAGGAAAUCAUCGGUGAAUUACUUGAGUUCGUUCUAUAAGUGCGAGCUGUGUUUCAAAGGCUUUAUUUCAGAGACAACGUACAAAAAUCAUAUGGUUAGACAUGACCCUAGCAGUGGCGCCCUCUCGUGCGAGAUAUGCCACAUCCGAGUGGCGAACAACAAGUUAUUACGCUCCCAUAUGAUCCAACUACAUGAAAGAAAAUAUGUUUGCAAGCUAUGCAACAACGUCUCCAAGUCUAAACACUCAGCUUCUGAGCAUUCAAAGUGGCAUAGCGGUCAGAAGUUCACAUGCAAGUUUUGCGAUGCUGUAUUUUC